rnacentral:lncRNA from 1 species
AUCUGAUUUUCAUGUUAACUAACCAAAAUUAAGUGUGUGCGCAAAUGUAUCAGAAAAAGGUUACACAUAACUCAUAUUCAACUAUACGAAAACCAAGUUAUACUAUGUAGGCAUAACGAAUCUGUAAUACAGUAAUACUCGCAAUGAAAUAAAAAAGUAAAGCACGUUAAUAUAACAGUUAAAUUCAAAUGAUAUUUCAAAAUUAUUAAACUAUCCGUGGAUUGGAUACUAGGACUACAAAUGCAGUGCCAAAACGUACCACAGUACUGAAACAGAUUGAAAUUAACGAAAUCAAAACAACAAUGAAAAUAAGAAACCCUUAAAAGAGCCAAAGUGAUCGACGCUCGGGAAAUCAUGGGACAGGACUACUUGGAUCUCUGCCUCAUCUUUCGGCGCUUCCUCUUCAACCUCCUCAUCCGCUUCUUCUUCCACUGUUAUUGUUCGUAACAAUGUAGAUUGAUUCAAUAUCAUAUACAAAAUAAUUAAGAUAAAGUACAGAGAAAAUGAGAUAGAUAAUCGAACAAUAUUUAAUAAAUUUAAUGAAAUCCAGCAGAUUUUACCUUGGCUCUCAUGGUUAGGGAGAUAAAUAAAACUCGAUGCCUCUUUUCAGAAC